AGUGAACGCUGGCGGUAGGCCUAACACAUGCAAGUCGAACGGCAGCACAGUAAGAGCUUGCUCUUACGGGUGGCGAGUGGCGGACGGGUGCGGAAUACAUCGGAAUCUACUUUUUCGUGGGGGCUAACGUAGGGACACUUACGCUAAUACCGCAUACGACCUACGGGUGAAAGCAUGGGAUCUUCGGACCUUGCGCGAUUGAAUGAGCCGAUGUCGGAUUAGCUAGUUGGCGGGGUAAAGGCCCACCAAGGCGACGAUCCGUAGCUGGUCUGAGAGGAUGAUCAGCCACACUGGAACUGAGACACGGUCCAGACUCCUACGGGAGGCAGCAGUGGGGAAUAUUGGACAAUGGGCGCAAGCCUGAUCCAGCCAUACCGCGUGGGUGAAGAAGGCCUUCGGGUUGUAAAGCACUUUUGUUGGGAAAGAAAAGCAGCAGGUUAAUACCCCGCUGUUCUGACGGUACCCAAAGAAUAAGCACCGGCUAACUUCGUG
rnacentral:rRNA from 1 species